UUAUAUCAAAGAAGUGUGUGUACUCUCCACUAAUCUGUUUAUGGUAUAGUUUUUAAUCAAGGUAAUUACCUACUUAACAUGACUACAUUGAAAGAAACAAGCUGAUUCCAACUUCUAUUAGUUUCUUAUCGUACAUCAAUUAUAUAGAUCUUUCAUUCAUAUGAAUUUAACUAUUUAACUAUAAAUCAAAGUUGUGAUUUUUUAUUCUGUUUAAGUUAAUGGUCAUUCAUGAGAUAAAUAUACAUUGAGAAAAGACAUGUUGUUAUGUUGUAACUGUUGAUUACCUUUACGAAGUUGCAUUGUGAUUUUUAUUGGUGAUUCAUUGGAUCACAAUUUAAGCAUAUAUAUUAUAUGAAAUGUUGAUUGAUGCAAAAACUAAUUCUUAUAUUAUUUUUUAGUUUAUGAAUAUUUCUAUAACUUUCGCUUUCUUAUAAAUUUAUGAAUGGUUUUUUCACUUUGAAUAUUUAAGGCCUCACUUAAAAGAAAGACUUCACUUUGCAAGCACUCAAGUAAAUAGUGUUGGAACAUAAAAGCCAAAGUGCUUAUAUAGUGAUGAUUAAGCUUUCUAUGGUUCUUUAUUUGUUUGAUUUGAUUCUACUACCAAUCUCAUUGAUGCUAUGUUGCUCUGUAUGUUGCAGUUGCCAAUGUCUUAAUUUGUAAAUGAGGAUUUGGUAAUGAUUUUGGUGGUUCUUAAAUGGGUG
rnacentral:lncRNA from 1 species